CAUUUACGUAAAUGGAUCUGCUCUGAAGAACUGUUUUUCUUUUGUAUCAACAAAGAGUUGGAAGUAGAGAACGGAGAUUUGAGGUCAUCUGUCAGUGAUAAUUCUUCAGUUGCUACUGAAAAUCGAGAUGGAUGCAAAUACAACUCAAAGUGAAGCUGCAACUGAAAUUGGUUCCUCUAUUCACCCUACAUCUGUACCUGCACCUUCUGCUGAUGCUCAGCAAGCUGCACAAUCUGCU